rnacentral:rRNA from 1 species
UACGUAGGGUGCAAGCGUUAAUCGGAAUACUGGGCGUAAAGCGUGCGCAGGCGGUUUUGUAAGUCAGAUGUGAAAUGCCCGGGCUUAACCUGGGAACUGCAUUUGUGACUGCAUGGCUAGAAUCUGGCAGAGGGGGGUAGAAUUCCACGUGUAGCAGUGAAAUGCGUAGAUAUGUGGAGGAACACCGAUGGCGAAGGCAGCCCCCUGGGUCAAGAUUGACGCUCAUGCACGAAAGCGUGGGGAGCAAACAGG